UGGAGCUCGUCGCUCGCGACGUUUGCACUUUGUCCCCGUCAAGAGGGGAAACUGGCACGUGCCCCUUUAAGAGGUUCCUGUUACCGGAAGUCGGAGGGGCGGUUCCGGCCGGCCGACCGAGCCACACAACGGAGAGCGUCCGCGGGCCCGAGCCCGUCGCGUCCCGUCGCGUCUUGUUUUUUUGUCUCGUGCGAUCCUGUCAUGGUGCCACGGCGCGGACGUCGGACAUGGCGUCACUAGCGGGCUCGAGUGAUGCCAAGGCCGGCGAACUGGACGCGUCUCUGCGCCAGAUGCUCAAGGCCAUCGCGGACGAGCGCAACCGACUCAACGCCCGUCAGGAGCUCAGCGGCCUCGGGUGCGUGAAGGAUGACCGCAUCGUGUUCUGGACGUGGAUGUUCUCGACCUACUUCAUGGAGAAGUGUGCCCCGCGGCAGGACGACAUGCUGUUCUACGUUCGCAGGAAGUUGGCCUACGUGGACGCUGACGAUGGCAAGAAGGUGGAGGUGGAGGUUUACAGGCGAGACUCCAAGAAGCUUCCGGGGCUCGGGGACCCCGACAUCGACUGGGAGGAGAGCGUCUACCUCAACCUGGUCCUGCAGAAGCUCGACUACGUGGUGACGUGCGCCGUGUGCACGCGCUCGGACGCCGGCGACAUCCACGUGCACAAGAAGAAAUGUCAGGAAGUGUUUGCAUCUCCCAGCAAGCACGCCAUGGACAGCAAAGGGGAGGAGUCCAAGAUCAGCUACCCAAACAUUUUCUUCAUGAUUGACAACUUUGAUGAAGUGUUUUGUGACAUGAGCGUGGGCGAGGGAGAGAUGGUGUGCGUGGAGCUGGUGGCCAGCGACAAGACCGACACCUUCCAGGGGGUCAUCUUCCAGGGCUCCAUCCGCUACGAGGCGCUGCGGAAGGUCUACGACAAUCGGGUCAGCGUGGCGGCCAAGAUGGCCCAGCGGAUGUCGUUCGGCUUCUACAAGUUCAACAACAUGGAGUUUGUGCGCAUGAAGGGGCCUCAGGGCAAAGGUCACGCCGAGAUGGCCGUCAGCCGGGUGCCCGACGGAGCGGAUGAGCGCUGCGAGCGGGACGAGUGCAGCGCGCCGGCGCACGACAGGGUGAGGACGUCUGACCCACUUUGCUCCAAACUGUGUUUGCUUCCUGCUGGCCCGGCCCGGCCCGUGUUGUCAUGUGACCUCGUUCAGCACGCCGCCGACCCCCGAGAGGAACCGUCCGUCGUUUUUUUCCCCGGCGCUACGACGCAAGCUCCCGCGGCACAAAAUGGCCGAGAUGAAGAAAUCGCACUCGGCCAACGACAGCGAGGAGCUUUUCCGGGAGGGCGACGACCAAGAGCUCCGCGGCGGCGACGGCAACCUGCGCUCGCGCUCGUUGUCGGGGACGGGCCGCUCGCUGGUGGGAUCGUGGCUCAAGCUGAACCACAGCGACGACUCCUUCCCGCUCUUCUCCCACCUCACCUACGUUACGCUGCCGCUGCACCGCAUCACCGCCGACAUCUUGGAGGUGCGCCAGAAACCCAUCCUGAUGACGUAGCAGCGGCGGCGGCGGGUGCCCAGUGAGCAAGUGCCUCCCUGCGCCGGCCGGGCCCCACGGCCGGACCAGAGCGAUUAAGAACCAGCCGUCCAGCAAGUGCCUCCUCCUCCUCCUCAUGCCCCCCCUCCACCUCAGCAAAAACUCUGACAAAUAGUGAUGUCACAGGAGUUGCUUUGAAGGAGCCGUUCCACGCUUGACGGCAAGUAUUCUGUCUGACGUAUCGGCAGUGAUGUCACUUGAUCAAGUCGGCGCCUUCCGCCAUUCCAAGAUGGCGGGCGGGCGGGCACAGGACUGAGACGCUUCCUGGAAGCCCCGCGUGGUGGCUCUUUGGAUUUGAGAAGUCGCGCCGCCGCACGUGGAACUUGCGCACGCUUCACUCACGCCAGCGGUGCUUUUGAUGUUUUCGCCACACCUCUGUGUUCUUCACGUCUGUCGGCAGGCGUCCGCGGGGACUGCCAAGGACACUUGGAAAAAAAUGACAGCAAAAGUCCGUCCAUCUGUGAGGAGUCCGGGUUGGAGAAAAGAAAAACAAAUUGGAAAAAGAAAAAUCCCUCCGUGGGGAAAUGAGGGAUCAAAGCCAAAGGUGGCCUAAAAGCCGGAGGAAGGGAAUGUCGGCGCCCGGAACCUAAAAGGUGCGUUUUUGGUGGUGCGCCUUCAGCCUUUGCUCUGCUCCAGGAUUGUGCACAGCUGUUUGGCGUCGUCAGCGGUCUUGACGCGGACGAGGAGCAGCGCUGGGGCGCUCGGGUUCUUGUCGUCCACGGGCGGGUUGGGCACGCACGCCACCAUCACGUUGUUGGCGGCCGCGUGCGAGCAUUUGAUGUCGGCCGACAGCAGGAUGUUGAGGAGGACGUUUCCUGCGGGACACGGCGGCGUUAGCGUUAGCCUGCUCUCCCGCUCGGGCCGAGCCUUUCCGCCCAACCUACCCAGGUUGGUGUCGGCCCUGAUGAUCAUCUGCGUUUUGCCGCCCGCCGUGCGUUUGAGGUGCAGCGUGCCCACGCCCUUCUCCUUGUACUCAUUGUCCUUCCUGUAGAAGAGCUUGCACCUGCCAAGCGCACAGCCGCCACCGCGUUAGCUUAGCCUCGGCGGGCGCGGCGCGGCAAACCUACUUUUUGGAGUAGAAGGCGUCAUCCUCUCUGAUCUCUCUGACCUCAGGCUUGGGCGGCUCAUAGCCUUCAUCGUGGCCCGUAUUCUCCUCUGCGCAACAAAGCAAACAUCGGAACAAAGUGCGAGCUUUUCCAUCGCGACGAAUGCGAGGCGUCAAAAGUGGUUUGCCUACUUGGCCGUUUUCGUACCUGAGGGCGCUAUGUCCUCAGUCUUGGCAAAGGACUGCGCGGCGCUUCCGAACAAGGAAAACGCAGGUGCGGCGGCGUUCUUCGGGACGGAACUGUCCUUCUCCUGGCCGAAGUUGAAGGUUGCGGCGGGCGAUUCGUCUGCCUUGCCCUUGAAAGAAAAGGCGACCGACGGGGAGGAAGCUCCAAGCGAGGCUUUCUUGUCUUCCGUCGUGGCCGCCGCCGCCGCAGCAGUCCCAUACUGCCGCUCGAUGGUAACCAGGUGGCGCUCGUAGUCGCGAAAGAUGGGCUGCAGGUCGCACAGCGGGUUGUCGUCCACGUGCUUGCUGAUCCAGUCGCGGACGGAGCAGUUGAGAGCCGUCAGCUGGCGACCGUACUCCUUGCCGCCGUUGGCCGGCUUGCCGUUCAGCGUCGGCCCUGGACCGAGAAAAGACGGCGAAGCGUCUCCAGCGAGUCGCCAAUUCAAACGCGGCGCGCCAAUAGCCGACGACUCACCGGUCGUAGACGGCGACGCCGCGGUGGUGGACGGCGCGAGGCCGCCGCUCCCGUUAGUCAGAGCGCUCGGGCCUUUGAAGGCUCCGCCAUUGCCGAGGGUGGAGAAGGGCGCCGGCGGGGAGGAAGCGCUCAAGGCGAAACCUUUGAACCCUUUGAAGGCCCCUGCGGCCUCACCCUGAAACACAGUGAGAUGUCCACGAGUGCCGUCGGGCGAUGAUGAUGAUGAUGAUGUCAUCCGUUUUACCUCUGCACCAACACUCCGCCGCUUGGCCUUUUUGAUGGCGCGGUUUUUCAUCACAUCUUCGGUGGCCACCGAGAAGGUUCCGGCCUAGAGGCACAAACGGAUGAAAACCCCCGUCGCACACUGAAGCCUAAGCAAAGCAAAGCCUUGUUGUGGAAACGAGACAUCACCUCCUCGCCCUCGUCCUCCUGGUCCCAGUUCCGAUCCGUGAGCUCUUUGUCUGCGAUCCGCUUCGCCAUCGCACCUGUGCUGGCGCACACACUCAGCUCGUUAGUCGACUUGAAACGGGACAGUGCGCUUGCGCCGGCCGCGGCAAACGGGUCACGAGGUCAUUCCUCCCUCGUUGUCCACUUGGCCCCCUGCACGCCGCCGCGC